rnacentral:rRNA from 1 species
UACGGGGGGGGCAAGCGUUGUUCGGAAUUAUUGGGCGUAAAGGGUGCGUAGGUGGCGCCGUAAGUCAGGUGUGAAAUUUCGGAGCUUAACUCCGAAACUGCAUUUGAUACUGCGGUGCUUGAGGACUGGAGAGGAGACUGGAAUUUACGGUGUAGCAGUGAAAUGCGUAGAGAUCGUAAGGAAGACCAGUGGCGAAGGCGGGUCUCUGGACAGUUCCUGACACUGAGGCACGAAGGCCAGGGGAGCAAACGGG